rnacentral:rRNA from 1 species
ACGAACGCUGGCGGCGUGCCUAACACAUGCAAGUCGAACGGAGUUAAUUGCUUCGGUAGUUAACUUAGUGGCGAACGGGUGAGUAACGCGUGAGAAACCUACCUUUCAGUGGGGGACAACAGUUGGAAACGACUGCUAAUACCGCAUGAUGUAGCGAGGGGGCAUCCCUUUGCUACCAAAGCUUAAUGUGCUGAAAGAUGGUCUCGCGUCUGAUUAGCUAGUUGGCGGGGUAACGGCCCACCAAGGCGACGAUCAGUAGCCGGUCUGAGAGGAUGAACGGCCACAUUGGGACUGAGAUACGGCCCAGACUCCUACGGGAGGCAGCAGUGGGGAAUAUUGCGCAAUGGAGGAAACUCUGACGCAGUGACGCCGCGUGCAGGAAGAAGGUUUUCGGAUUGUAAACUGCUUUAGACAGGGAAGAAAUAAGACAGUACCUGUAGAAUAAGCUCCGGCUAACUACGUG